rnacentral:rRNA from 1 species
ACGCUGGCGGCGUGCCUAACACAUGCAAGUCGGACGCGCUCAGCAAUGAGCGAGUGGCGGACGGGUGAGUAACACGUGGGAACCUACCUUGAGGUGAGGGAUACCGGCGAGAAAUCGCCGACAAGACCGCAUAGGCUCUUUAGCGAGAGCAAAGCCGUAAGGCGCCACAGGAUGGGCCCGCGGCCGAUUAGCUGGCUGGUGGGGUAACGGCUCACCAGGGCUGCGAUCGGUAGCUGGUCUGAGAGGACGAUCAGCCACACUGGGAUUGAGAACGGCCCAGACUCCUACGGGGGGCAGCAGUGAGGAAUUUUCCGCAAUGGAGGAAACUCUGACGGAGCAACGCCGCGUGCAGGAAGACGGCCUUCGGGUUGUAAACUGCUUUUCUGUGGGAAGAGCAAGGACGGUACCACAGGAACAAGCCCCGGCUAACUACGUGCCAGCAGCCGCGGUAAUACGUAGGGGGCAAGCGUUGUCCGGAGUUACUGGGCGUAAAGGGCACGCAGGCGGUUGUGUCAGUUUGCGGGGACAGUGAGCGGCUU